UAGGAUGAAAUUUGAAAAUGUUUCUUUUACAAGGAAAAAAAGCUUAAUAGCCAUUCUAA
rnacentral:tRNA from 1 species